rnacentral:rRNA from 1 species
GACGAACGCUGGCGGCGUGCUUAACACAUGCAAGUCGAACGGAAAGGCCCUGCUUUUGUGGGGUGCUCGAGUGGCGAACGGGUGAGUAACACGUGAGUAACCUGCCCUUGACUUUGGGAUAACUUCAGGAAACUGGGGCUAAUACCGGAUAGGAGCUCCUGCUGCAUGGUGGGGGUUGGAAAGUUUCGGCGGUUGGGGAUGGACUCGCGGCUUAUCAGCUUGUUGGUGGGGUAGUGGCUUACCAAGGCUUUGACGGGUAGCCGGCCUGAGAGGGUGACCGGCCACAUUGGGACUGAGAUACGGCCCAGACUCCUACGGGAGGCAGCAGUGGGGAAUAUUGCACAAUGGGCGGAAGCCUGAUGCAGCAACGCCGCGUGCGGGAUGACGGCCUUCGGGUUGUAAACCGCUUUCGCCUGUGACGAAGCGUGAGUGACGGUAAUGGGUAAAGAAGCACCGGCUAACUACGUGCCAGCAGCCGCGGUGAUACGUAGGGUGCGAGCGUUGUCCGGAUUUAUUGGGCGUAAAGGGCUCGUAGGUGGUUGAUCGCGUCGGAAGUGUAAUCUUGGGGCUUAACCCUGAGCGUGCUUUCGAUACGGGUUGACUUGAGGAAGGUAGGGGAGAAUGGAAUUCCUGGUGGAGCGGUGGAAUGCGCAGAUAUCAGGAGGAACACCAGUGGCGAAGGCGGUUCUCUGGGCCUUUCCUGACGCUGAGGAGCGAAAGCGUGGGGAGCGAACAGGCUUAGAUACCCUGGUAGUCCACGCUGUAAACGGUGGGUACUAGGUGUGGGGUCCAUUCCACGGGUUCCGUGCCGUAGCUAACGCUUUAAGUACCCCGCCUGGGGAGUACGGCCGCAAGGCUAAAACUCAAAGGAAUUGACGGGGCCCCGCACAAGCGGCGGAGCAUGCGGAUUAAUUCGAUGCAACGCGUAGAACCUUACCUGGGUUUGACAUGGAUCGGGAGUGCUCAGAGAUGGGUGUGCCUCUUUUGGGGUCGGUUCACAGGUGGUGCAUGGCUGUCGUCAGCUCGCGUCGUGAGAUGUUGGGUUAAGUCCCGCAACGAGCGCAACCCUUGUUCACUGUUGCCAGCACGUUAUGGUGGGGACUCAGUGGAGACCGCCGGGGUCAACUCGGAGGAAGGUGGGGAUGACGUCAAGUCAUCAUGCCCCUUAUGUCCAGGGCUUCACGCAUGCUACAAUGGCUGGUACAGAGAGUGGCGAGCCUGUGAGGGUGAGCGAAUCUCGGAAAGCCGGUCUCAGUUCGGAUUGGGGUCUGCAACUCGACCUCAUGAAGUCGGAGCCGCUAGUAAUCGCAGAUCAGCAACGCUGCGGUGAAUACGUUCCCGGG